CAGUUCCACAGAUCCGCCUCCCACUUUUCACUAUGACCACAUCCGUCCCUGGAAAACCCAAAAGAAAAAAAGCUAACUCUCAUGACCACAGCGCCACAACACAUCCAGAAGGAUACGAUGGAGCUCUUGGAGGAAGACCUUACAUGCCCGAUAUGCUGUUGUCUUUUCGAGGACCCACGCGUUCUGCCGUGCUCACACAGCUUCUGCAAGAAGUGUCUCGAGGGCAUCCUGGACGGGAACCGGAGCCCUGCAUGGAGACCACCGUUCAAAUGUCCGACCUGUCGAAAGGAGACCGUGCACAACGGCAUCGCGAGCUUGCAAGUCAAUUACUCCCUGCGUGGCAUCGUGGAGAAGUACAACAAGAUUCGAGUGCUGCCAAAGAUGUCACUCUGUCGAGCACACAGUGGACAACCGCUCAAUAUUUUCUGCGCCACGGACCUGAAACUCAUAUGUGGCUUUUGCGCCACGACAGGUGUUCAUAAAGGACACAAGUUUUGCGCGCUGGAAGAGGCGUACGAUCGCGAGAAGGCUGCGUUUGAGGAGUUGUUUCGAGUCGUGGAAGGCUGGAGGGGUGCGGAGGUGCAUUCGUGCUUGGAGUCGUUGGAGGGAGCGAAGAAGAAAGCCCUGGAGAGGGUCUCACGGGACGCUGAUCGAGUUUCAGAGUACUUUGACAAACUCCUGCGCGCCCUGGAGCACAAACGAAGCGAAAUCCUCUCAGAUUUUGAGACUCUUAAGCUCGCGGUCAUGCAGACCUUUGACCCCGAGAUCAACCGAUUGCGCUCGGCGCUGGAGGAGCAGCGGCGCGCACUCAACAUCGCCGAAUCCUUUCGUUCUCUCUCCGAUCCGCUCACCUUCCUGCAACAGAUGCAGGACUUCAGAGAAAACCUGCGCGUCCUUCGGGGAACGCCUCUGCCAUCGCGGACAGACAUGGACGUGGGUCUUCUUGGCUUGCAGAACUUCGAUGUGAAGGAAUGGGACCGGUUCCGUCUUGGAGAGGUGGACAAACUGUGCGCCCCCUACGAGAGCAACGCUUGCCUGGCUCCACCGCCCCCUGCUGCGCCGCGCUUCUCCCGUAUGAUGUGGAGAGUUCUUCUGGUUGUAUGUGCGUGUCUCCCUGCGCUGAACUUUCUGCCUUCAGACUGUAUUUCCUUAAGCUUCCACGAGAAAGUGAUGACACUCGGUGGCUUUUCUUUGCCCGGUCAUGGAGAAAUUCUGCGCUGGCUCGGGUUCUGCUGGAAAGAAGCGGCAGCAAUCUGCACACUUUUAACCGAGAUGUGCCGAAACUGCAUCUUGGAAAUGAUAAACACGACAUCAGAUUUCAUCAGCUGAUUCUAUAGAACUCCAUCCAUUAGGCCAUUCAGAUUGCUCCAGUGAAGCUGAGUGACUUCUCUAUGUUGGACUGAUGAUUCAGUCCAUGAAGGGAUUCCAGUAACAUAUGGCUUGAGGUUUUCCAGGACUCCAUCUGAAACACAAGAGAGUAGGAUGCUUGAGUCACACUGACAGUAUGCUAGACGUGAGGCUGCCAGUUUACCAGGCUCGAUGGAGCUCUUGGCAGAAGCACUUCUCAGCACCUAUCCUAUAUUAUACCAAAACCUGGCCUGUUGCUACUCAUCAAAAUGCAAUAUCAAGGAAGUAUGAAACAAGCACAAUUUUCUUCUAGACCAAACUGGAUUUAGCCCAACAUCCAUCCUCCUAAUCAUCUUCAACAUCGGAAUCAGCCUGCCACCAGAUUUCCAAAGCGGUGUCGAAUCCAACAUCAGUAGAUAUCGCCACUAGACCAAAACAUAUAAGGAAUUUGUUGUCCUUUCUGAAUCAAUUUUACAUCAUUUUGUAUUUAUGUAAAAUCUUUAAUGUUAGUGUUUACCAUGUGGGAGUUGACGAGAGACAUCAUUAAUGUGUUUGAACACCUCAAUGUGAAGUACUAGUUAUAUUAGUAAUUAACAAUAUUUGGACUGAAUACAUGUAACUGGGAUUUUAAUACCAAAUACAGUAACCAAGCAGCAGCAGUUCCUUGACAUAUCAGCUUUGUGAACACCUAGAAACUAGUUAUGAAGUAAAUAAAAUAAAAAUAAUAAUUUAUCAUCACCCAUGGGAGAAUUCUGAACAAUCAUUCCAGUAAAUCUUUAUGCCUGCAAAAAUAGUACCAAAUGGUUGAGCAAUGAACUGUGGCAGAAGGUGGAAGCUCCUGCAUACUGCAUGCCCACUGCAGUUUAAAGCCAGCAUUAUAAAUUCAAUAAUAAAAAAAAAUUAUAAUAAUUGUUUCAAUGUAUUAUAGCUAGUUGUUAUUCACUGUUAUACAUUUAAUAAACUGUAUAUUUUGGAAAAGCGAGGGAUGGCAGAUGACAUGAACAGUAAUACAAAUUUCAUGGUAAUGAAUUUGUGAAAAGAGUUUUAAGCAAAUAAAUGAUGGUCUAAACUAUCACGCUUUCUUUAUUAGGAAUCUUAAGGGGCUUGCUAACAGAAAGGUUACAAACUUACUAACAUAAUCAUGGAAUUUGGGUCAAUGAUGCAACACGGCUUCACAGUCAAGA